GCGCGGGUCGGCGCGGAGCUGCCGCCGCGUCCCCCGGCCGGGGCCGCCGUGCAUGGGCAGGGAGCGGGCGGGACGCUGCCUGCGCGCCGCGCUGCACAGCCACGGCCGCGUCUAAUUAGAACCUGAUUGUGGCAUUGUCUUCAAAUUUUUCACUUCUGCAGUCAGUGACAGGAAAAAACCUGUCUAGUCUGGUGCAGGCACCUAUUGAUUUAAAAUCAAUAGAAACAUUGUCCCUUUCUGAGGUGAGUUUUCUCUGCAUCUCUUUGACAAUGACUUCCACAGCAGCAUUACGUGGUUCCUUUUGUUGUUAGUAGUUUGCUUUUUAAUCAUGGUUGCACGUUUCCUUGUAUUAGGAAGGGAAGCAUACUCUUGCUGCUUAAAUUUUCUGUCUUCUUGGUUUUCUUCUGGUUUUGUGUGGUGCUUUUUUUGCAGGGGUGGGGGAAGGGGUAAAUGUGUGCAUUUUCUUUUUUCUUAGAGUCCUUAGUAUUUGUUCACAGCUCAUACAAAUCUAUGAACUAAUUCUGUUUUUCUGUGUUUUUUACGAUGUCACAAAAGACAAUAUUCCAGGUGAAUUGAGAAUGUUUUCAAUACCUUUCCUCUCUUCACUUUUUCUUGUCUCUUGUGUGCCUGUAUUAAGCAGAGAUUCUGCUGAGCUGCACAUCCUGUGAGUGGUUGUUUUGUUUAUCUGCUUACAUUUGGCUUAAAAUGUAAUGUCACGUGCGAAUAACUGCAAGUUUUUUUUUUCAGGGGUAUAUUAUUUUAUGUUUGUUGACAUCAGAUGUUAUCUGUCUUUUGUUUUUUUUUGCUUGGCUAGCUCUCAGUUUUGAUCCUGCUCAAGUCUCAUGUAAGCCGGUUAUCACCAAAGUUGUUUUUAGGCUAGGACUUUGAAAGUGCUUAUAUGCUUGCAUAAAUGUGUAUGGUGUGGUAUUUCUUGCUCUGCAUGCAACCCCACAUGGGAUCUUUUCUGAUGUUUACCCCAGUUCUUAAUCUAUGUGUUGUUCAUGGUGUAAGGUUUUUUAUCGACAGUUCAGUGGAGCUGAUUUAGCUGGUAUUACCUUUAUCAUUCUGCUUAUGUGCUUGAGCAGCUGCAGUAUAUUUCAGGACUUAAGAAAGUCUUUUACAGAUGUUUUAAUUAAAUGGAUUUAUUAUACGUGUUCAAAGUGUUGUGAUUAAAGUUAUUAGCAUGUACAAUUAAAACUUUUAAAAUGCUUCUUUAUGUGAAUUCACUGGUCUCAAGGAUUCAUUUUUUGUAUUAUUUAGUGAGAGUAACUAUCAAAUCAGUUUUAAUCAAUUUUUAGACCUUUUUUUGCACAGUCUAUAUCAUCCUGUUUACCAGAAACUGUGCAAGAAUUUUGAGAGUUUUUUUUGGUGAGCGGAUAAUAUGUUAGAGGAAUAGUGUUAGCGUACAGGUCUGGUAUGCUUUAAAUGACUAUUUUCCAUCUCUGAUAUCAGUUAGUCUUGUUUGACUGCAAGGAUUUCAUAGUUGUCACAAAAAUGUUCAUCACUAUUCAUUAUUUCAUAAUACUGGAUAUGGUUUGGGUUUCUAGUACUGUCAGAUAUUUCUAAAGUAAGAAACCUUUGCCUUCUAAAUAUCCAGUGUUGAUACAUAAACAUACAGUUCAUUUGGUACCUGUACUUAUCAAACAGUUUUUAGAGACCUCAGUUAUUCAAGUGCAUUUAGAUUGGGAGGCCUUUUAAUUUCAAAAUAAAAUUAUGGGAUUGCUUGCAUGGAUUCAGAUAUGGAGGUAUGGGUUGCAGGUGAUGUUUGGGUUAUGUAUUAGGUAAAAUUUGACUGGGAGACUAAUGCAAGACCAUUUGAGGACAAAGACGGUUGGAAAACAAAGAUUAAUUCCUAAUGAAAGUGAGGUUUAUAAACUAUAGAGAGAGAAUUACAAACCAUGAAGUCACAAAGAUCUAAGAAUAAGGUGGAGUUGUAGUUUUAUCAUGUGUAUUAACUGUUCUCUUAAGCUUUGUUCUCAAGACUUUUCUUUCCUUAGCCUCUCACAAACACUGGAAUCUGCUGUUUCCUCGGUUGUGUAAACACAACAGCUUUUUAUAGGUCUGUGCUGUAAACUGUAUCACAAGUGACCUAAGUUAAAAUUAAUUUUUUUUGUCUCAUUUGGAACAAGUGGCAUGAGGGAAAGGGAGCGGACAGGAAAACUUCUUAAACUGGCUUGCAGCGUCAGAGAAAAUGUUGUGUAAUCGCAUCCUGGAUAACCCCAAAGAUGGACUGAGCUACAAAAGAAAUGUUGGGUUCCCAGUGGAAUUGGAGGGCACUAGAUUGCACAAGACCCAGAUCCUCAGCUGUGGGCAGUCAAGCUUGUGUCAAUCCAACAGCUGGCUCCCAAAAGACAGACUUUGGAACUACUCUAACAACUGUGUAAAUAGGUGCGCGGUUAUCUUUUAAUUGCCGCAUACCUGGGUUUUCAUAAACCUUUGUAACUGUGCUCUCUGUCAGGGAGCUUGUGAAAAUGUACUUCUGUCUGCUUUUCUCCUAACCUGGUUUCUUCAGUUUCAAGGUAACAUUAGGGCAUUCUAUUCCUAUGUAUCUUCUCUUCCCUAAAAUUGGAGACUAGCCCACUAAAACCAUGUUUUGGACAUUGCAAGGAGGAUGGACAUAUACUGAAUUUCAGUGAGUAUUUCAUAAACAUGCUUGCAGAAGCUGGAGAUAAGCAUGUUAGAUUUAAGUUUGUGAUAGCAAGAGUGCAAAACUUAGUAGAACUUACAGGUGCUUUGCAAAGUGGGUGUGAAAAUGAACUGGAGUCUUCAGUUUUCAUUGUUAUGCAUUGGCAGACCUAAAACCAGUGUGAUGAAAUAGGUGUACAUCAAAGUGGAGAAUAAAUAAACCAGAGAAUUUAUUUGGCUGAGGUGUAAUGAGAUUAUACCAGAAUCACUCAGAAACAAAUGAAUUUGAAGCUAGGUUUGCAAUGUGGCUGCAUGUGUGAUUGUAACAUACAUAGGUGUACCUGAACUUGUUCAUAUUUCAGCAGUUGGAAGCCACAGCAGCUUAAACCAUACAGGACACUGAAAGUUUCUCAUGGCCUUUGCCAGCCAACGGGAUGCACACGUAUAAGCAGUGUUUAGAAGGAUAUCUUUAGACUGCAGCACUCUUAAGCUGUGCCGUAAUUUUCUUGGACUUUGGUAUUUUUUCCAGGUUUCUUUCCAAAUAGCUCUGCCACUUGCUGAGAUUGCUUUCUUAUUGCCCUGGUUUCAGCCAAGACAGAGUUAAUUUUUCUGCAGUAGCAGUGAGGGGGUAGAGCCUGGGCCCCUGUGGCAGUGUCUAGGUUGUUAUUCUAUACCAUGCACUUCAUCCUGUUGGAAGUGGGGUGAUCUCACUUCUGGAAAGAAGGGUGUGGCAUCAGGUCAAGAAGAAAUGUGGUGGGAAGAGGGAACCUGGGGUCUUUAGGGAGCGUUUUGCAUGUAAAUCACCCUCUUUUGUACACUUCUGUUAUUAAUACUGUUGCUGUUACUGUCCAUUUUCUUAUCUCAUUGCUGUUUCCAGUAAGUUGUUCUUACAUCAACCUGUAAUCUCUGCCUUUUUUUUUUUUCACUGGAGUGGGGACAUGGAGGGAGCAGCCAAGAUUUCUUUUUAGUGAGAGUUCCAAACUGGGAAUUCUAUUCCUAAAUUAUGACACUGAUCGAUAAUUCUGCCAGUGAACCCACAAAGCUGAAUUUUAAAUUCACUUUGGAAUGCAGAAAUGUUUUUACUUUUUUUUUUGAAAGAGAUCAUAGUAUUUGGCAAUUUUUAUGGUGUUUUGACACAUAAUUUUUUCAAACUUUUGAACCUGAUGUAAACAUUUUUUGGUAGGUUGAUAAUACAUGAUGUCUCUUCUUGUAAUUUGUUGUGCUGUGAUGUGGUUGUGCCGUUGUUAUAACUAUGCAGGGUGGUGAAAUAAUAUUUUUUAGUCAGACUUUUUAGAAGGAUAUUUGAAGUUUGUCAUGACUUGAUAUUACAGAUAUACAUUAUCUGCAUGCCAUAAUAUGCUAGAAGGCAUUGACUGUCUGGUUUCUUAUCCUUGCAGUAGACUUGUGGACUGCUCAACCAUAAUCUAUGAAAGGCCUUUAAGCAGCUUUAUAUUUGGGUUUUCUGAAACCAUUUCUGCAAAUACUGAAAAAGCAUUAGUUUGAACAGCAUAUAGGGCACUUGGUGCUUUGUCCUAGUGUGUCAAACUAUUUUACUCCCUCUCCAACAUCUGUAGUAUGUCUUGGGUAGAAAACUCAGUAUUAUUUUGAGUUGAUGCAACAUAGCUUAAGUGUUUCUAAGUGAGAAUGCCUAAAGAGAAGUUACCUUGAGUGCCCUUUAUCAUGCAGUUAAUGGGUUAAAUAUCCAUGAAGCCAGGAAAAGUGAUGGUCCCCUUUCAUGCUCAGGGGACGCGCAGAAUGAAAACAAGAGCAUGUCAUCCCUGAUUUUCAGUGGACAAGCAGCUAAUAAAUAUGAAAAGGAUUUCUUUAAAUUAUUGUUUGUUUUAAAGAAAACUGUUUGGAGGUUGUAGUUACAAUUCUGCUAAAGCCUAAAUUUAGUCAAAUGUUGUAACUUUUAGUUAAACAUUUAGUUAGACAGAUACUGUAUAGAACCACAGAAUAAUUUGGUGAAGUGGGACCUCAGUUGGUUUCUGUUUCAAAGUUCUGCAUGAAGUAGAACUUUUGGUCAUAACAGGUACAAAAGCUGUAUCCAGGAAGGUCAUAAAAAUCUCCAAGAGUGGAGAUAACAUGUCAACCACUGGGCCAUCAUGUGGGUGUCAAACAUUCUCUUUAUUUCCUCUCUGAACAUUUUUUGUUUCAACUUGAUCCUGUUGUCUCUUGUCCUGUGGAUGGAGGACAAGAGCUUGGCUCCAUCUUCUGAAUAACUUCCAUAUUGGUCCUGGGGACUGCUGUUAGGCGCCCCCAGUCUCAUCCAGGUGGGAUAGACCCUGCUUCCUAGUCUGUCCUCAUAGGGUCUGUGCUGCAGCCUCCAACUGUGUUUGUGGCCUCUGCUGUGAACUUGCUCCUAUUUGCCAGUGGUUUUUUUUCUAUGUUAGGGCAGUGGAAUAAUACCUAGAUUCAGAAUUUUAAGUUCAGCUAAGAUCUGAACACUGAUGAACUCCUAAAUAAAGGCCAGGGCAGUAGGUGACCAGAGACUUUCCAACAAUCAAACUGGGAAUAUAUUCUUCCUCCAGUUUGUGUAAAAAUAACCAUUUGAUGAUGAACAAUGAUUGGUUUAAAUCAUUGAAAAAUACUGUGACCCAGGCUGUUCAGUUUAUGUAAUUGACUGAACGUUCAAUCUUUAUUGAACUGCAUAGUUUGGAAAACAUAGUAUGUUUUAUAUAAAUUUAUUUUGUUCUAUAACUUUUCAUUGUAAGUAUUGUAUUCAAUAAUGUCAGUGUAGUUUUUUUGACGGUUUCCUAUGUUUUUGUUACAUUUCAAUUUUAGAAAUGCAGUGUGCAAAGAGAAAGUUAAAAAUUACUGUAGUUGAAAAUUGUAGCCAACGUGCUCUUUGGCAUAAUUUAAUUAAUUAAAAUUCAAAAUCUAGAUUGAACUCAUUAAAUUCCAUCUCUUCUUACAUAAAAAUGCACCAUAAUGUGUCUUGUUUGAUUAAAAACAUUAGUGCAGAGAACUAUUUGGCUCCUUGAGUGAUAAAACACAUGGAACAACAAUUUAAAAAGUAAACGUGCUACAUGAAUGGUUUAUAUUAAAUGCUGUCUUUAAUUUCAGUCAUAACUUAAAAAAUAUAUUUUUAAUUUGAAUAAAUCAAUUUGUCUGGCCAUUAGAUUGCUGAGUACUUAAUUAUACAUGACACGAAUAGAACACAUGUAUUUAUAUUUUGGUGGUUUUUUGGUGGUUUUUGUUUGUUUGUUGUUUGUUUUCUUUUAAUUUUAUCUUUGAGUCUGUAAUAUUCAUGGACUGUUAAACCAGCUGGAACUUUUGGAGUGUUUCAGUCAUUUGUUUUUGUCAGGUCAUUAAACUUCAACCUGUUGAUACCAAGGCAUUCUGUUUUGCUGGAAUGAAUGUCUUCUAGAACUGGGUACAAGGGUGUGCCAGUGCAGUUUGGUUCCUUGAUCAAGCUGAAUUCCUGCAUACAAGUUUACAAGUUUUAAUAUUUGCCUUUCUUAACUGUUUCUCUGUGAUCUCAUUGCAUACUAAUAAAGUUAAUUGUGGAAUGCAUUUUUCUUCCCUUAAGAAACAUAAAUUUAUUGUGUAUCAGUGUGCCAUGUUUUUUGCAUCUUUUAAUGACCUCAAAAUUUGUUUAAUAAGAGCUUGUACUAGUGAUAUUAUUUGUGCCUAAAAUUCUUCCAUUUCUUACUGAGGUUUGCUCUUGUACUUGAGGAGCUAAGUAUAUACAUAAUAUUAGAAUACUUGCCUUGUUUCCACUUCUUUUUGGUUUCUAUUGCUUUUUAAAGUUCAUGUUCCUGACUCUGUUCUUAUUAUAAAGACCUAAAUUAUUAGGCUGCUUUCUUGAUUAUGAAAUAUUAAGGGGAAAGAAGAAAUUUUAAGAAAUCUGAUUGUAAAGCAAAAUAACAUCUUAAUUACUUCCCCAGUUAGGCAGAGGUAUAUUUUCAGAGGCAGUAAACAUGCAGGAAUUAUCACUAUGGUAUUAUUAGUUGAAACAAUAUUUUGCUUACUUCUGGUUAAGAAGAAAAUCUAAUUUCUCAUUGAACUGUUCUUUAUAAUGCAUUACAGUGAUUCUAGUAUACUUACCUGUUGUUUGGUACAGUGUCUUUCUUAUCUGGACAUAAUUUCCAGUUACUCACUAAGCCUUUAGAGGAAGAAACUGAGCAAACAAAGCUGCUGUACAUCCUUUUGCUGUUAGGGAAUUAAGGUGGUAAGUCAUUGUCACCGAUGACAUUUACAGGAGAAAAAAGAGAAACUAAGGGAAGAAAGUAUUAAAGCCUUUGUGGCAAAACCAUAAUGCAGCAACAAGGUUAAAUGGGCAUGCAGACUCAUUUGGUAAGCUUUUGGUAAGCUUACACAGCAAGUGGUAGGAAAAAAAAUUGUUUAAAUUGUUAAUUUGAACUUUCUAAUAUGAAUGAUACUGCGCCACACACAAGAUAACUAUUUUGAACUUAGAAAUAAAAGAAGACUGUCUUAGUCAAAGACAUUGGUAUAUAAUACAUAUAUAUCUAUAUUAUAAAAUAUA